UCCUGGCAGCCGUCGCUGCCGCCAAAGCAAACCGGCCACCGCGCUUGAGAGGACGACGCCUCUACGCACACCGCCGUCCCACCGACGCAUCAUUCCACGCCAAAAACCCUAGCAAAUUUGAUUGGUCUCCCGCGCGGCGGCGAUGGAGGAGGAGGAGGAGAAGUAGAGAGCACCGCCAAUUCCACCCCCCGUCUCCGCGGAGGAGAUGACGCGAGCACGGCCACACCGUCCUUCGCCGACAUCGUGCUAUCCCUCGCAGUGUUUCACAUGUCGUAAAAGGGACCAAGAUGAUGAGAUAAGGUUCGUUAGGGGAUCCAAAGGUAGGGGAUGAAGGAGAUAUGGAAAUGGGGAUCGAAGAGGAGAAUUGUAGCUUGACUAGAGCCGCAGAAAGAGAGACACGGGCUGUCCGUCCCAGUUUCCAGUACGGCUGGCCCACCCACCUCUUACAGUUUAAGCUACAGGCUGUUAUGAAGUAAAAGCUGGGGAGGUACAGUUUCGGCCACUAUGUGAGGGAAGAUGAGAACACUUGAUCAAGCAGUAGCAAUUGGGGCAUGUAGGUUCCAUCGGGCACUCAGCGAGAUGCAAUCUUCACGUGACAUUUUGGCCGACCUUUUAUGAUGGAUCGCUGGGGGGAAGGAUUGUAAAAGUUUCAAGCGUCAACAAAUUGUGUCCCUGUGGAGAAGAGGGAUCAGACUAAAGCUGUGGCCUUGGUAGGGUAAGUAUUCGAACGAGAUGUUAUGCGGCAAGGGCAUUCCUAGACGUCGUCACCUCCCAUCGGCCACCCAUAUAUUUUCAUUGUUUAGUCGGGAUAUUUUCCGAGUAAAAUCUGCAUCUCCCAGCCGUCCGGAUUCUUUACUGGAAAGGGGGAAAGACGAGGAGGACGCAUAUGCCACCUUUCACGGCCGUGGGGUGAUGAAAAUGGCUGCUCCUAUUGGAUGAUGGAGAAAGGCACCGCACAAGAUAACGUCUAGGGGCCUACGUACACCCGGCGACCACAUCCCAUCGGCCCAGGUCUUCGGUACCACCACUCUCAUGUCUCUGCCUCCUGCUAACCACUAAGCAGUGAAUUAGGGUAACAUCUCUCUCUCUGUCUCUCUCUCUCAUGUUUAUCUUUUGUACAAAUGAUGAAAGCAAAUGCCUGUCCUUUUCAAGACGUAAUAUAAACCCAUUAAGGUACUAUUGGCAUCCCUUUCAUUAAAAAAUCAAUCGUGUAAGCCUUGUUUAAUCCAUGUUCAACUGUUUGAAUCCUAAUCAAACUGGUCAGUAUCGAUUAGGACUAAACAUGGGAUGGACUAGGAGCAGUGACAAGUCUCCAAGCCGCUUGGCUUGCUUUCUCUAAAACUCUUCUUAAUAGAUGAAUUAGGCAAAGCUUUUGCCUUGUUUAAAAAAAAGAUACAUCUUCAGAUUGGAGGCCAUGUACAAGUACAAUACAGUAACUAUUUUUUGUUCCAACUUACUUCCACUAUAAGAUGUUAUUACAUCCAAUAUAGUUUUAUAUUCGUUGUAAUAACAUCUUGUAUUAUGGAUUGGAGAGAGUAAUUUAUAACCUCUGGGUGACCUUGAAGAUCAAUGUGCCUUUGUCCGUCUUGGGCGAGCUUACAUGUGUCUCAUUUUUAUUCCCGAAAAUCAUGAGGGGCACUACCUCUCGCCGCCACCACACUAAGAAGAAAAGAGGGUCUUGAAGCCGGCACCAGUUUGGUAGGGAUAGAACCGGGGUGUAAUUGUAUUGCGAGGGUUCUGAUACGCUAAAUUUAGAUCAACGAACCAUGUAAAAUUGACUGAAAGUCAAGAUUUAUUUUAGUGGAUUGUUCAUAUAUAAAUCAUACAUAAAGGAAAAUGCACAUAUUAUAGCUUGAGUUGAGGGCAGCAAUGAUUUCCCUUUUUCUUUUUUUUAUUGAUUGUUCGAUAGGUGCUGAAGUUGGUGUCUCUAGUUACCAGAGAUUUAGAAAAGAGGGAGCAUUUGUUAGUUGAAGCUAGAUGACGUGAGGACCGC